AUGAGAAGCCAGGGGUGCCGCAAGGCUGAGAGUGACCCUUAUGAUCUGAACUGGGUAGUGCCAGCGUAGAGAGUGCAAAUCGAGAUAUCA
rnacentral:ncRNA from 1 species